GACGAACGCUGGCGGCGUGCCUAAUACAUGCAAGUCGAACGCUUCUUUCCUCCCGAGUGCUUGCACUCAAUUGGAAAGAGGAGUGGCGGACGGGUGAGUAACACGUGGGUAACCUACCCAUCAGAGGGGGAUAACACUUGGAAACAGGUGCUAAUACCGCAUAACAGUUUAUGCCGCAUGGCAUAAGAGUGAAAGGCGCUUUCGGGUGUCGCUGAUGGAUGGACCCGCGGUGCAUUAGCUAGUUGGUGAGGUAACGGCUCACCAAGGCCACGAUGCAUAGCCGACCUGAGGGGGUGAUCGGCCACACUGGGACUGAGACACGGCCCAGACUCCUACGGGAGGCAGCAGUAGGGAAUCUUCGGCAAUGGACGAAAGUCUGACCGAGCAACGCCGCGUGAGUGAAGAAGGUUUUCGGAUCGUAAAACUCUGUUGUUAGAGAAGAACAAGGACGUUAGUAACUGAACGUCCCCUGGCGGUAUCUAACCAGAAAGCCACGGCUAACUACGUG
rnacentral:rRNA from 1 species